rnacentral:sRNA from 1 species
UCAGGUAUUUACUGAAACCGCACACGUAUCGACACGUUGUCCUGGGUGCCCUUCGGGGUUGGAUAGCGGGAUGCGUGGAGGCCCAAC